UACGAAGGGUGCAAACGUUGCUCGGAAUUAUUGGGCGUAAAGCGCACGUAGGCGGCUUUGCAAGUCGGAUGUGAAAUCCCUCGGCUUAACCAAGGAAGUGCAUCCGAAACUGCAGAGCUUGAGUACUUAAGAGGAUCGCGGAAUUCCCGGUGUAGAGGUGAAAUUCGUAGAUAUCGGGAGGAACACCAGUGGCGAAGGCGGCGAUCUGGGAAGAUACUGACGCUGAGGUGCGAAAGUGUGGGGAGCAAACAGG
rnacentral:rRNA from 1 species